CGGGAGGAGGAGAGAAUGGAGGUGGAGAGGCAGGGGGUGGGGAUGCGGGUGGAGGAGUGAGUGGAGAAGGAGGAGGGGAAGACUGAACUGGAGGAGGAGCGGAAACAGGUGGAGGAGAAGAUUGAAGUGGUGGGGGAGUAGACUGAGCAGGUGGAGGGGAAGAUUGAGCGGGUGGAGGAGAAGAUUGAGCGGGAGGAGGAGAAGCUUGGGGAGUGGUUGGCGUUGGAGGAGCAUUAGUAUUAGGAGGAGUGGUUGGCGUUGGAGGAGCGUUAGUAUUAGGAGGAGUGG
rnacentral:lncRNA from 1 species